CGCGUUUCGAUCCUUCAUCCAUUCUGUAUCCUCUCCUCUCGCUGCUACGAGUUCCAUCGCCAGCCAACAUACGGUAGAGGAGCUUUUGUUGCUUCCCUUGCUGAAAGAGCCGUCUUGACAGCAGAUCCUAAUGGCUCAACCUCGCACUAACGCUGUUGGAGUAGACAACACAUUUCGUAGGAAAUGAGAACGCGAGAACGAGAAAGGCAAGAGGAUGAGGAGUCCAAAUUCAAAUCCAAAGAAAAAGCUCCUCUUGUUCAAAGGAAACCCUUGAAGCACAGGAACUAUGAAGUUGACCUCGAAUCCCACUUGGGGAAAACUCAGGUU